GCAUUGGUGGUUCAGUGGUACAAUUUUCGCCUGCCACAUGGGAGACCCACGUCCGAUUCCUGGCCAAUGGA